rnacentral:lncRNA from 1 species
GAGUCCAUGGAACUCUAGGUUCAAAACCCAGUUUCUUCUGGGACCAUUAGAUGGCAUCAGACUCAAGCAGGUGCUCCUCUAGCUGACAGCUCUAAAACACAAGGAAGAUCUUUGUUUUAAGAUACUGCAGGUAAGCGACAAGAAGGGGAAAUUGGGAGCAUUUUUCUGUGUCCCUGACAUAAAGCCUACCUGGGAGUUUCCCCUGAGAUAAGAAACUUUCAGGACAUCUUAAGGUCUACUGCAUCUUCCUGUACUGCCCAUCAAGAUAAGUUUUCCACCCAGCUUUAUCAUGAUUAGCUGCGUGAUUUCAUGUCAGUUUCUCUGUAAAAUUAGGUUUGACUGUUGCAUUAUUUUUAAGAUGCCUUCCAGGCUUAAAGUAUUAUGAUGCAUGGGUAU